rnacentral:rRNA from 1 species
CGGGUGGCAGCAGUGAGGAAUUUUGCGCAAUGGGGGAAACCCUGACGCAGCAACGCCGCGUGAGUGAAGAAGGCCUUCGGGUCGUAAAGCUCUGUCAGGUGGGAAAAACGUCUUAUAGUUAACAGCUAUGGGGUAUGAUGGUACCACCAGAGGAAGCACCGGCUAACUCCGUGCCAGCAGCCGCGGUAAUACGGAGGGUGCGAGCGUUGUUCGGAAUUACUGGGCGUAAAGGGCGUGUAGGCGGUUUGGCAAGUCAGAUGUGAAAGCCUGGGGCUCAACCCCAGAAGUGCAUUUGAAACGGCCGAGCUAGAGUAUGGGAGAGGAGAGUGGAAUUCCCGGUGUAGAGGUGAAAUUCGUAGAUAUCGGGAGGAACAUCUGUGGCGAAGGCGACUCUCUGGACCAAUACUGACGCUGAGACGCGAAAGCGUGGGGAGCAAACAGGAUUAGAUACCCCUGUAGUC